CGUAGGCGCAAGCGUUGUCCGGAUUUAUUGGGCGUAAAGAGCUCGUAGGCGGUUUGUCGCGUCGGAUGUGAAAACCCGGAACUCAACUCCGGGCCUGCAUUCGAUACGGGCAGACUUGAGUACUGCAGGGGAGACUGGAAUUCCUGGUGUAGCGGUGGAAUGCGCAGAUAUCAGGAGGAACACCGGUGGCGAAGGCGGGUCUCUGGGCAGAAACUGACGCUGAGGAGCGAAAGCGUGGGGAGCGAACAGGAUU
rnacentral:rRNA from 1 species